UCGAAUCAGUUAAAAUGUUUG
rnacentral:piRNA from 1 species